rnacentral:lncRNA from 10 species
ACUUGAAGCCGGGAGGUGAAGGCCGCAGUAACGCUGUUCCCUGCAUUGGAUGAAGUGCUCCCCACCAAACUCUCUCACCGGAGAGGGUGGGAUCUGCGGGCUCCCUGGGUGGCUUGAUUUCGACACCCUGUGGGCUGCCUUCCACUCUGGUACUUUCCUCUGCCUGCUGAUGCUUGAAAUUCCUUGAACCGGCCACACACACCUGCUUUCUGGAAUCAGAACACUGGAAAGGCUUCCUGGGACGGGAGAAGAGUGAUUUACAUUCCUGCCGAGGUGUAAAGCUGCGGAUGGCAGGUUCUCUCCUGAGAACCGGCUUCAACUAGGAGGAGGAGGUUGGAAGCAGGACCCCGAGCUGACCUGUUGACCAGGAGAGGAGUGAUAGGCCACUGAGCUAUGGGCAGCCAC